rnacentral:ncRNA from 1 species
UACUUGGUUAAUGCCGUUGUCUGAAAAGACAGUACGGCGAAGCUACCAUCUGCUGGAUUACGGCUGAACGCCUCUAAGCCGGAAUCCAUGCUGGAUAAGCAGUGUUGUACACCGUGCUCAAUGCUACAAGAAAAAGGCUAGGUCAGGCUUCGGCCUGACCAAAAUUCAAGCUGCUAUACCUCUGGCUGCAUUGACUUGUGGUCAGAGUGUAUGGUGAUCAUAGCAAUUGCAAGUAUUGGGCUCGAUAAAUCCUUUGAAGACGACUUAAUUGCAUCCGGGUAUUGUAAGUGUUGAGAGUAGGCUUAGUCUUACGAUCCACUGAGAUUCAUCCCGUGUUGCGCCGAUUUGU